UAAAACCAAACAUCACUCACUCACUCACUCAUAAUAAAGAAGUUGACAUCCAUAUAUUCUCUUCCUUAUAUGUAUCACUUCCAAAUGCCUUUCAAAGACUAAUGAGUCUAUUUAUCAUGUUUAUAGUCAAAUCUAAAUCCUGUAACAAAAUUGACACAUGUUUCUGAUGUACUAACUACUGCUUUUGAUAUGUUGGAUUAAAUUGUCAUUUAGACUUCAAUAUCAACAUAAAAUAAUAUUAAUGUUGAUUUAUGCUCCAACUUCUCUUGCUCAUUGCACAGUGUGUUUUAUUAAUAUUUUAUUGUUUUAUUAUCAAAACAUAAUAUCAUUGUUUUAUGAAGCAUGCUAUUAUUAUGUUACUUUGUAUAUACUGAUCAUUCUGUUAUCUGUGAUCAAAACACCUUGUUUGCAGGGCUGUUCCCAUGCAAUGAAGGAAUUUCAGAUUACACUAUUUUAAGACCACCUGAAAUGUGAACUAUUUUAUGAGCGUUUGAAAGUGUUUGUGAAUGGAGUUAUGUCCCUUUAAUAGGACAGCUGCACUUGCUCAUUGUCCCAGGAGGUCCCAGUGAUUGACUGGAGGUCCCAGUGAUUGACUGGAGGUCCCAGUGAUUGACAGGAGGUCCCAGUGAUUGACUGGAGGUCCCAGUGAUUGACAGGAGGUCCCAGCGAUUGACUGGAGGUCCCAGUGAUUGACUGGAGGUCCCAGUGAUUGACAGGAGGUCCCAGUGAUUGACUGGAAGUCUCAGCGAUUGACAGGACUUCCACCAGAAUGACGUCAGACUUUAUGACUCCCAAGAUCGACGUCUCAGUUAUUGACUUUCAAGCCAUAAUUUUAACGUCCUUGACAUCCCAGCGAUUGAUAAUUGACUCCUCAGUGAUUGACUGGACGCCCCCGGGAUUGAUUGGGUACCAACUGAUUUGACUGGACAUUCUGAUGAUUGACCGUACGUGCAGUAUCUUGAUGUCUUCCCGGAACCCACGUGCCCCCGACUAUGGUGACCACAGUUUAUGCCAGAUGUCAUGAUUGAUGACAGUGUUUUUCAAUUACGUGAUAUGUAGUUGUGAUGACAAAUGAUUGAUUGUUUUAUGGUAUGUUUCGUGGCAUAGAUACAAGUACAAUAUUCUCAUUCAUAGUGUUAUCCGUAACAUUGCUUUUCUCCACAAACUUUACAAGGUCAAAGCCAAGGAAGAUAAAUAACAACAAUAUA